rnacentral:rRNA from 1 species
AGCAGCCGCGGUAAUUCCAGCUCCAAUAGCGUAUAUUAAAGUUGUUGCAGUUAAAAAGCUCGUAGUUGAAUUUCGGGGUCAGUAGGUCGGUCGUGCCACUGGUAUGAACUGGUUUUACUGAUUCCUCCCUCUUGAAGAACUGUAAUGCCAUUAAUUUGGUGUUGCAGGGAAUCAGGACUGUUACUUUGAAAAAUUAGAGUGUUUAAAGCAGGCUUUAGCUUGAAUACAUUAGCAUGGAAUAAUGAAAUAGGACGUUUGAUCCUAUUUUGUUGGUUUCUAGGAUUGACGUAAUGAUUAAUAGGGAUAGUUGGGGGCAUUAGUAUUCAAUUGUCAGAGGUGAAAUUCUUGGAUUUAUGAAGACUAACUACUGCGAAAGCAUUUGCCAAGGAUGUUUUCAUUAAUCAAGAACGAAAGUUAGGGGAUCGAAGACGAUCAGAUACCGUCGUGGUCUUAACCAUAAACUAUGCCGACUAGGGAUCGGAUGAUGUUAAUUUUUAAUGACUCAUUCGGCGCCUUACGG